UUAACCGAGCGAGAAUCCUGAGCCCAGGCCGGGAACGCGCUGGGAGAAGCGGACUCAGCAGCUCCGGCCACAAAGGCGCUUUUCAGCCGCCCCGGCUCAGGGAGAGGAAAGGGCAGAAAGCCGCGCCCCCAAUCCCUGCUCCGUCCGGCUAGGUCCCCUCCCCCCGCGCGGCCAGUCUUCCCAGUUCCAGCUAAGGCUCUGCCAGUCCGGAGAGCCCCUAUCUCUCCCAUCUCUGCUCUAGAUGCAGCCCAGAAGGGCGUGGGAGUAGCACCUGAGAAUAACGGUCUCCUUGUGCGGAUCUGGGGAGCCCCCUGCAGGGUGGCAACCAGAGGAAAGGGCCACAAUGUUCCACGGCCAAGGAGGAAAGAAGGAAUGCCCCUUUUCCCAUCUCUAGUUCUAACGUUCAAGAUCACUGGCCAGGCUGGAUGAAGUGUCUCACACCUGUAAUCCAGCACUUUGGGAGGCCGAGGUGGGAGGAUCCCUUGAGCUCAGGAGUUCAAGACUAGCCUAGGCAACAUGGCAAGACCCCGUCUCUACAAAAAAUAAAAAAUAAAUCACUCGUCA